rnacentral:rRNA from 1 species
UACGUAGGCAGCAAGCGUUGUUCGGAGUUACUGGGCGUAAAGAGUAUGUAGGCGGUUGGGUAAGUUUGGUGUGAAAUCUCCCGGCUUAACUGGGAGGGUGCGCUAAAGACUGCCUGGCUCGAGUGUGGGAGAGGAAAGCGGAAUUCCUGGUGUAGCGGUGAAAUGCGUAGAUAUCAGGAGGAACACCUGCGGUGUAGACGGCUUUCUGGGCCAUAACUGACGCUGAGAUACGAAAGCGUGGGUAGCAAACAGG